rnacentral:tmRNA from 1 species
GGGGGCGACUGGAUUCGACACGAUAGGUCCGAGGGUAGCAGCAGGCCGAGGUCCCCUCGCCUCGUUAAACAGGGGGAAAGACGCCUAAGCGUCGACACUAAUUACGCUCUCGCUGCUUAAUAAGUAGCGACGUCGUCCGAUGAGCGUCCCCGUCAUCGGGUACGACGUCACUCAGGGGACUUGCGCGACGGAUGUGGGCUGUAUGCCGUGAGCGCGAGACUGAACAGCCAGGGCACGAGCACGCGGGUCACCGGGUGUCGCUCGUGCUGACGAUAACCGGUGUCUGAGCCUGGAGAUACUCCCCGGGGAUCUGUUGUGGACCGGAGUUCGAUUCUCCGCGCCUCCACCA